ensembl:lncRNA
GGGUAAUAUGUCAAUUCAGUGUCCUCACUAAGAUGUGAAAACGAACGUGUGUGUGUCUGUGUGAAGUUUUGAUGUGAAUCUGAAAAACACAAUUUUGAAAACACUGGAAAGACCUGGGCCCUGUGCUUCGUACGUCGCUUACUACAUCCAAGAUCAAAUGAAACAUCCAAGACCAAAUCAUCGCGCUAACUCUGAGCUCGCUAAUCCGGUUCCCCGAACACACCUGUUGUUGACGAUUAGUAUAGCUGGAUGAAGUAAUGUGAGAUCACUGGGUGGCCCAACAGGGGCUACGCAUCGAUAGUAGAAACAUUGAUCGGCAACCCUUUGAUUGGUCGGCGAAAAUGUCGAAGGAGCGCGCUCGGUAUUUUUCGGCAGCAGAGCAAGAACUCUUGAGUGAGGGAUUUCAGGAGUUUCAGAGUUUAAUUAAAACGCAAGGGAACACUGCAAAGGCUGCAAAAGCAAGGAGAGAGGGCUGGCAGAAAGUUGCUGACAAAUCAAACUCGUAAGUAAUUUAAUAAUAACAAUAAUAAUGGAGUGGAUUUAUAUAGCGCUUUUCAAGGCACCCAAAGCGCUUUACAAUGCCACUAUUCAUUCACUCUCACAUUCACACACUGGUGGAGGCAGCUACGGUUGUAGCCACAGCUGCCCUGGGGCAGACUGACAGAAGCCAGGCUGCCAUAUUGCGCCAUCGGCCCCUCUGGCCAACACCAGUAGGCGGUAGGGUAGAUUUAUCAUAUCACACCAUAUUAUCCAAUAUUAUAUUACAUUAUAUUAUAUUAUAAUAUGUUAUAUUAUAUCCCCUUUCACAUUAGAGCCACAACAGGACCCACUAGAACAUGGGAACAAGUAAAAGUGAAAUAUAAGAAUAUUCUACAGAAUGCAACCAAGAAAAGGGCAGAGCAAAAAAAAAGACAGGUGGUGGUCCUGCACCCCCUCGUCAACAAGUUGGUUAAGUGAAUAAUACCCUCACGGGAAAAUCGAUAUCUCUCUAUGAGCACACUGUCGCGCUGAGCUAAAGGAUCCUGUCUGUCCCGCAAUAUACGCUGAAUUCUGAAAACUCUCCUUAUCAAUCUUGGACCUUCCGCAAUGGGUUGCUCGCGUAAACGGACAGGAUAUGACUGCGACAGACUUCCCAAAUCCACCUUCGCUUUUAUAGCCGUGGUCUCUCAUCUUGAUUACACGAAGUAAUUUACAAUUACUACUCUGAAAUAUGAAUUACAUCUGUAAUAAUCAC